rnacentral:tRNA from 2 species
GCUAAUGUAGCUUAAUUUAAAGCAUAACACUGAAGAUGUUAAGAUGGACCUUAAGAAGUUCCGUGAGCA